GGGCCAUAGCUCAGUGGUAGGGCAUCUGCUUUCCACGCAGAAGGUUCUAGGUUUGAUCCCCUGCAUCUCCC